UUGAAGACCUUCCUUCUGAGUUCUACAAAAUGAGUUUUAAUGAUUCGUAAGACAAUCUGCAUAAGACAAAAUAAAUUUUUGCAAACUGUCAAAUCAACCUUAAUUAUUAUGAUUAUUAUAAACUGAUAUAUGAAUGUUAGUCAUUUACAGUAUGACUAUCUAUUAGUGACUGCCUGGCAAGGGUCAAUUUUCACGUAAAAUCAUUAUCAUCACCAUAUCAUUUACAUCAUAAAUG
rnacentral:misc_RNA from 1 species